CCCGAAAGAUCGAACGGGGAGAUUCAUCGUCAACGAUCGCGGCUUCGCCGAGGCUCGUGAUGUCGCGGACUUCGCGUCCGCGGUACACGGUCGCGCGCGUUAUGCCCGCGCUCGUCGGCGUGCACUUCUCCCCCAGUAGGACGUCGCGACCCGUUGGACGUCGGCGUAAGGCUCGUAUGGUAGACUGUCUCGGCGUUCGCGCCGGGGCAGACCUUCGGUUGCCCGGCCGGCUGUCCGGCGGUACUCGCACGGUAUCGAGCCGCAUCGAACAUGCGUCCAGCCCGUCGCAAGCGCGGUCAGCGAUUCCCGGUGGUACGGACCUAGUGCCGUCCCCGGGCCUGGCCAGCUGUUAGCAGACGGUGUCCUCGGACCGGCUCGCUCGUUUACCGGUCGGCGACGCUACUGCUUUGGGUACUUUCA
rnacentral:rRNA from 1 species